AUGGCACCUGGGGGCAGUGGACCCACCAGCAGCCCCAGGGUCAGGCCAGACCCACGGCACCCGGGACACUACGGACCCACCAGCAGCCCCACAGCACCCAGGGGCAGCACAGACCUGCCACCAGCCUGGGGCCAGGGCAGAUCUAUGGUACCUGGGGGCACUACGGACCUGCCAGCAGCCUGGGAUCAGCACAGCCCCAGGGCCUGCCCCCCCCUCCCCCCCCGGGGCAGAGGCACCCAGAGCCUGGGGCCCUUGGGGGCAGGCAGCUGGGGGGGACCCAUGGGGGCUGGGCGAGCAUGGUGGGGGGCAUGGUGCUGGGGAAUAAAGAAUGGCAGAGAUGUCAGUGUGCUGUCCUUCCUUCUUCCCCCCUCGCUGCCCUUCCUCCAUCUAUUCCUUUCUCCCUCACUUCCUUCUUCACUCCCUCCUUUCUUCCCUCUUUGCCUUCUUCCCUCUAUUCUAUCUCCUGUUUCCUUGCUCCCAUCUUUACCUCUUUUCUUUCUUCUUCUACUCCUCCUUCCUCUUCUCUUUGCCCCUUUCUCUUCCCUUCUUCUGCUCUUCCUCCCUUCAUUUCCUCUUUCCCUGCUCCCUUCCUUCCCUCUUCCCUUUCUUCCACCCRUCCCUUUUUUCCCUUCCUCUUCCCUUCUACCACCUUUUCUGCCUUCCUCCCUUUCUUCCCAUGCCACCUGCUCUUCCCUCCAUCAUGCCUUCUCUAUCCUUCCUCCCCUUUCUUCCCCUUAUCCUUCCUCCCUCCUUCUCCUAACCCUUCCUUCCAUUCAUCCUUCCUCCCUCCCUUCUUCCCAAUUCUUCUCCCUUCCCUUUCUUCCUCACUUGCUUCCUUUCUCCCUUUCUCCAUCUCUUCCUUCUUCACUCCCUUUCUUCCCUCUUUGCCUUCUUCCCUCUAUUCCAUCUCCUACUUCCUUGCUCCCAUCUUUACCUCUUUUCUUCCUUCUAAUCCCCCUUCCUCUUCCCUCCUCCUGCUCUUCCUCCCUUCAUUUCUUCUUUCCCUGCUCCCUCCCUUUCUUCCUUUCACCAUUCCCUCCUUGCCUCCUCCCUUUUUUCCCUUCCUUUCUUCCAGCCUUUCUUCCUUUUCCUCCUUCCUCCCUUCCAUUUACCCUCCUCCAUCCCUUCCUUGCCAUCUUCCUCCCUUUCUCCUCCCCACCCUUUCUUCCAUCUUCCCUUUCUCCCCUUUCCUUCCUUCCUCCCCAUCCUUCUCCCUUUCCUCCUCCAUUUUUUCCUCUUCCCUCCUUCCCCUUCUUUGUUCCUUUUCUCCCUUCCCUUCUUUCCUGCCUUCCUCCCUCUAUUCCUUCCUGUUUUCCUUCCUUUCUCCCUCUUCCCUUACUCCAUUCCCUACUUCCUUUUCUCCCUUCCUUUCUCCUGCCUUCCUCCUCCUAUUCCUUCCUACUGUCCUUCCUUUCUCCCUCCCCUACUUCCUUUUCUCCCUCCCUCCCUUUUCCCUCCUCCUUCCCAUCCUUCCUUACCUCCUUCCCUUCAUUCUGUUCUUUCCUCCUGUCCUCCCUUCCCUCCUUCCCUUCCUUUCUUUCCCUUCUCUUCCCUCCUUCCUGUUUCCUUCUUCCACUCUUCCUCUUCUUCCCUCAGUGCUGUUUCUGUCCCUUCCUACUUUCUCUUCCUUCCUCCUGCCUCUUCUCUCCCUCUUGCCUCUUUCACUCCUUUUCUCCCUUCUGCCUCUCUUCUYUCCCUUCCUUCCUCUCUUUGCUCCCUUCUGCCUCUCCUCUCUCUUCUUUCCUCUCUUCCCUCCCUCCUUCCUUCCUUCUUCCUUGCCCCAUCCUUUCUUCCACCGUUCCUUCCCUCCUUUUCCCUCCUACCUUUCUCCUCGUGCAUCCAAGGGCUCUCCUCCACGCAAAGCCCAUGACUGACAUUGCAAAGGGGGACGUGCUGUGCAGGGCGGCAUUACCAGCCGUGGCCACCCGCACCAAAAAGCCCCACGUGCACCAGCGCUCCAGCGUAAGUCUUUAUUGCCCAUGGCCCCCGCCCCAUUUCCCCCGCUGCAACACAGGCGCCAGCACUGGCUCACUUCUUCUUCAGGAGCUCUGUCAUCUCCGGCACCACCUGCAACCACCAGCACAGGGUUAG
ensembl:lncRNA